ACCUUCCCUGUUAUAAAAUAUAUAACGAUUAUAAAAUAUAGCGUGGCUUCUCAACACCUAAAUAAGCGUUAUUGUUUAGUAUUCGUGCGUCUUACCUUGUGUGAAGUGAUAUCGUAGAAAUUAGGAUAAGAUAGGUCGUAAUGAAUUGAAGUUAUUAAUGAGUUAUUUCAAGAUUCGCUCUUUAUGCGAGAUUGCUUUUCCCGAACAAGUGCGACUGUUUUAAUUUUAACUCUUUAUGUUCAGCAACUAGUGGUAUGCUCAGUACGAGGUGAUCAUACUCAGGAAGUGACUGAGAUGAUCAUCGUUCAGGACCCUAGACGUAUGGGCAAGCCCAACAAACUCGCCAAUACCAGUGACAAGCCGGCGGAACAAGAACUCGGCGUUAAUAACGCAGACGCACUGAACUCUUGCUGAACUUGAAUCGACGAAUGGCAACUGGUGGUAUAUUCAGUACGAGGUGAUCAUCCCAGGGGGUACUAAGAUGACCAUCGUUCAGGGCCCUAGACGUAUGGGACAAGUCCAACAAACCCGUCAAUACCAGUGACGAGCCGGCGGAACAUGAACUCGGCGUUAAACAACGCAGACGCACUGAAAUCUUGCCAUUCGAUAAUGUAAUAAGUAUUGAACAAGACGCAUGGUCACUCUUGAAAAGGAGAAAGUAAAAUUGGAGAGUAAUUAUUCCCUGAUGUUGAAUAUUAAAUAAUAAAUUGGUUAAUUAAUUAGAAUAUGUUGCUUAAAAUUUAUUUGAUUGUCUGGAAAAUUAUAAUUAACAAGCCGACGGAUCAAGGCUGGUAUUACCUCGCUGCAACAUAGAUAUUAAAUAUCGACAUGCUCAGCUUGUUAUCACCAGGAGUACCCUCAACGGGCUCCAGUCAGCUAAUACAACCAAGCUGUUGGGUGACUGAGCUCGACUUCUUAUUUUAAGUAGCCGACGCAACGAGACGGUGAUCUUUAUUGCACUCGAGAAAUUAUUUGUAAUGAAUUUAAUUUAGAGGGAAUAAUAGUAUCGAAAUAUUUAUUAAUGAAACGAUUCUUUAAUUUGUUUAUUACAAAGGUAGAGGGAUGCGAUCAGAAAUUUAUAUAUUUAGUUCAUUAAAAUAUCUUAAGUAUAGAAAACGAUUCAUCAGAUCACGAAUACUCCAUCCGUGUCUGAUUACUGUAAUAUACCGAGAUCGCAUAAAGGAUUAGGACCUAUAGGAGCACUUCACUGUCUAAAUUUGUUGUUAGCAAAGAGAUGCAAAUUAAUUAGUGGUUAUCAGACAAUAGAAAUAGACAUACAUAUAUAUAUUUGGUAAAAUAAUAUUGUUUUUCAAUCAAAUUCAAUCACGUGCAUAAGUAAUGCUAGUUAUUAAAUAAUAAUUGUCAAAAUAAUCAUUAAUCAGUAAUUGUAUUUAAUUGGAAUUAUUUAUAUGAAUUAAUUGUAAUAGAAUGUCAAAAUCUGAGAAACAAAAAUAUUUUAUUUAUGUAUAUAUUCAUUAUUUGGAUAUAAUAGCAGUUAGAAUUAGUGGUAAAUAUUUGGACAGAGAAAUAAAUAUGUUUUAUUUAUUUAAUAAUAAUUAAGAUUGACUGGAAAUGUGAUUUCAGUUAAUUAAAUAUUCUGUUAUGUAUAUUGUUGUGAUAAAUGAGUAAUAAUCCAAUUAAAUUUGAUUGAAAAUAUAAUUUACAUGUAUAAUGAAUGGUCAUAUGAGGUAAUAAUGGAAUUUGUUAGCAUAAUAAUUAUUGCAGGUAUUCAAAUACAGUAACAAUCAAUAUUCGAAUUGUAAAAGUGGUUACAAUUCAUUAAAAUAUAAUAUUUGGGCGUAAAUGCAAUUAUUUGGUUUAUUCAUUAAAUAUGUGACUAAGUUUGAUAAUAUUCAAAUUAAAGGUAAUUAAGUUUCAUUAAAAAUGCAAUAUCUGUAAUAAUUACAAUUGAUUUAAUAAUUGAUUUUGUUAUAUAGUCACAUAGGAUCAGAUACUAUUAGUAUUUAAGGAAGUAAUAAUUUAGAUUUAUUAAAUUGAGUUAUUUAUAAUUCCUUAGAUAAUUGCAAUUAAUAAUUAAUAUAUCGAACAUUGAUUGUGUGAAAUUCCAAGCAAUUAGGCAAUUUAUUCAAUAAACAAUGAAUAUAAAUUCAGUUAAUUAAAUUGUAGGUUGAAUAACAAUUUUGUGAUACAGUGUAUAAUUUCAGUUGAUUGAAUAAUUAGUUAAAUAUUAAAUAAAUAUAAUUUAUUUGGAUUGAAUAUAAAAAAUAUUAAAAUGUGGUCAUGUAUGAAAUUGCAAUUAGUAAAAUAAUUAAUUGAAUAGUGAAAUAUAUGUAGUUAAUUAUAUAAUCGUUUGGAUAUUGAGUAAGUAAUUAUGUAUGUAAUCUCAGUAGGUUGAAUAAUUAAUUAAAUAUUAAGUUAAUAUAAUUCCAGUCAAUUAAAUAAUUAAUUAAUUAUUAAAUAAGUGAUUACGUGCGGCAAUAGUGUAUCUUGUUCAAAUAAAUAGUAAUUCAACUAGUCAGAGACAUGAAAUAAGAUUUCGACACAUAUAUAUAUAUACUUCAGUGAAAUAAGUGUGAAUUAAUUGUAUUAAACUUACCAAAUUGUUUGUAGAACAGCUAGGGGCGUGAAAUGAAUUAGAGCUGGACCCCGAAAUUCGUUAUAAUUUGUCUUUAUUGUAUGAGAAUACAGUCUUGGGUGUGUCGACAAAAUGGCGGUCGUGCGCGAUUUGGCGGUAAGUUUCGUCGUUGAAGUGAUACGUAUUUUAAGAUCUUUACUUCUUGAAGGGUCCGCACGCAAUUUAGAUGUUUUCUGCUUGAAGGGUCCGCACGCAAUGCCGUUCCGCCGCGGCGAGCGCUCUUAUAUACUGUCAGUUUGGAAGCCGCGGGGUGCGGUGUGAGGUAGGGAUUGCAUCAGCCGCAGGUGUUACUUCAAAAGAUGCCGCCGGCGACAGUCUGGCGGUUACAUUCUCGGAAUUUAGUCUGGGGGUGUCUUUGAGUUUUGCCGACCGUCGCUGCGUACUUCGUCUUUUAAGACUUUUAUAAAAUAUUAUUUUACGCAGUGAAUAUUUCAGAGUUUCUCAACUAUUACAGUGAUGCUCACGCUGGGGAUCUUUCCCUUUUAGUUUUUAAUAUUUAUAAAAAUCUCGAACGCCUUCGAGAAUGUUCUAGAAAGUUCUAGAACAUUCUAGAAGGUUCUAGAAGAAUUGGUGAGGCUGUUAUAUAAUACUUUAAAAUUUUAUAUCUUGACAACGAUGAGGGGGUCGAGGGUUGGGGUUGGAACUUUAAAAGUAUAUAGAGGGUGGACCCUAGGGAGUAGUAGGGGUGUGUGGUUCAUCGAACGCGGUAUACGCGGUGGCCUCAGUCAAGUGUUCAGGCAGACAUGCGCGAGCCAAUAACAAGUACAUGCAGACGUACGACCCAUUGAAACCAUCCUCAUAUCUUAUGUACUUUGACGUGAAUAAUUUGUACGGAUGGGCAAUGUGUCAGCCACUGCCCUAUGGAGAAUUUCAAUGGGUUGAAGAUGUCUCUAAUUUUGACGUGUGUGCGAUCGCUCCUGAUUCACCAACGGGAUACAUUCUCGAAGUUGAUCUCAAGUAUCCUCGAGACCUUCACGAUGAGCACACUGACCUACCUUUCUGCCCGACACGCCAGGCAAGCGUGAAUAUAAACUUUUAGCGACCUUGUAUGAUAAGAAACGUUACGUCAUCCACUACCGCAACCUGCAGCAGUGCACGCGUCACGGUCUUCAUAUCGCGAAGAUACACCGUGUAUUAAAAUUCGCACAAUCUCCAUGGCUCUGUAAGUAUAUAGAGUUAAACACACAAUUCCGAAUCAUCGCUAAAAAUGAUUUCGAAAAAAAACUUGUAUAAAUUAAUGAAUAAUGCGGUGUUUGGUAAAACCAUGGAGAAUGUGCGCAAUCAUGUUAACGUUAAAUUGUUGACGACAUGGGCGGGGCGGUAUGGUGCGGAGACAAUGAUCGCGAAACCAAAUUUUCAUAGUCGAAGUAUUUUUGCGGAAAAUUGGUUACACGACAUUAGUCCGAAAACUAGAUGGGGAAAAUGUUGGUACCAACAAAAUUCUCUAGACAUUUCAAUUUCAAUUUUUACAGGUUAGUAACACUGUUUAAGUAGUAAAUCCACGAGUGUGCGGAGACGUUUUGACGUAUGCGCGCGUCAAAAAUAAUAAAUAUCGCUCAAUUAUUUGUAGGAUGUUAACAGCCAGAGAACAAUUCCCUGCCGAGUAAAGCUGCCAAAUUCAGAGUCUGCUAUGUUCCCAAGUGUGCCAAAAUUGUAAGCAAAAGUAAAAAUUACAUUGUAACAUUAGAUUUAUUAUCAACAAUGCAGCAACGGAUUGAUACCAUAAACUGAGAAAUCAGAUUUGUCGAAACUGUUGUAUUACAAAGAACAUGUGCUGUUUGUACCAGCAAUGUACUAACAUUGUUUACUAGUAGAAAUACUGUUGUGCUUAUUGUCAAUCUGUUAUCAACGCUUUCGACAGACCUGCUUGUUGUUCAUUGUCACUUUGUUAUACAGUCUACUGACUGGUAUAUACAUUUUAUGUUUCAGUAGACAGAAAAUGUGCUACCCGCAUUAGCAUUUGCGAGAAUGGAUUUGGAGUAUCAAUGGAAUGCUUGUCCAGAAAUCAAGGAUUAUUGUUGCUAUAACGUUUCGUUCGUGCCCAAAAUUGUGGAUGCCUCGCAAAACUUCUAAUACGCUUUUGAUGUUCAGAAAGGUAAACUGUAAAUAGAUAGUAAAUAUUGCAUUUUAAGAAUAAUUAAUAUGGUAUGGAAAUAUGUUUACAAAAUAUGGCAUUUAAGUUACCAAAAAAUUCAGCAAUUGUUGUGUGUUUUUUCAGAUUUAACCGAAGUUCUCGGUUGUGUCUUUUUGAUACAUUAUUGGUUCGGUGUAUUUGUUGGAAAACCGAAAAAGAUUCAGGCUUAAAACUGUUUAUCCACGUGUCUUUAUAAUAUUGGAAGAAAGACUGUAAAUAUGUGCAAUCUUGGAAAAUAAUUCCCGAUAUCAGAUUGAAGCCUUCUACUAUUAAUUUUUUUGGUAAAAAGGCUAAUGAUAUCAAUAAUUUUGUGGCGCCCCAACCUACACCAUUUUUAUCAUUUUUUAAUAUGCCGUGCUUUUCAGCAUUGUGUACUAACGCCUGUAAUAGGAAAUUAAUACAAUUAAAAUUGAUUUACAUUUUUGUUAAUUAAGUUUAGUUAUUUUUUAUUACCUGGCUGUAGUGGAAGUAGCCAAUAAUUUUAUUGGGAAAAACCGUACGCAAAGCUUUUUGUUCGGCUUUUUCAAAGUCUGACAUUGCAAUGUCAGGAUUUAUUUUUAAUAUAUUUUUUAUUUUUUUUAACACAUUGACAUAAUUUUGUGUUGUGCGUCCUUCCAUAAUAGUGUACACUAUUGGAAAUGUCUAAAAAAUUUCUAAAAGGUAUCAAUGUUUACUGGGUACGUUUCGUUCGUGCCCAAAAUUGUGGAUGCCUCGCAAAACUUCUAAUACGCUUUUGAUGUUUAGAAAGGUAAACUGUAAAUAGAUAGUAAAUAUUGCAUUUUAAGAAUAAUCAAUAUGAUAUGGAACAUGCUUACAAAAUGAGGCGUUCAAUAUAUCUAAAAAUUCAGCAAUUGUGUUUUUUCAGAUUUAACCGAAGUUCUCAAGGUUGUCUUUUAGAGACGUUAUUAAUUCCUGUCUAUUUAUUGACAAACCGAGAAAGAAGCCGACUUAAAGCGGGUUUAUCCACGUAUCUUCAUAAUACUGGAGAAAGGACUGCAAGGGCGUGCAAUUUUUGAUCAUAUUUCUCGAUAUUAUAUUGAAGCCUUCUACUAUUAAUGUUUCGGAUGAAAAAGCUUAAUAUUAACAGUUUUGUUGCACUACAACCUACACUAUUCUUGUAAUUUUUUAAUAUUCUAUACUUUUCUACAUUGUAUACUAUUGCCUGUAAUAAUAAAUUAACACGAUUAAAAUUGACUUGCAUUUUUUGUUAAUUAAGCGUACUAUUAUUUUUUAUUCUAACUGUAAUUGUAAAUAGUUAAUAAUUUUAGUAUCGAGGAAAACCGUAUGUAGUGAUUUUUGUUUGAUUUUUUCAAAAUCGUUGCUAUGUCAAGAUUUAUUUUCAAAAUAUUAGUGAUUUUAAAAAAUACGUUAAUAUAUUGCGUAGUGCUUUCAUUAUACAUUAUUCGAAAUGUCUGAAAAAUUUAAAAUUACAUUUAAUUAAUAUGUACAUAAAUUGUGGAAUUCUUGUUGUGAUUAAAUGAACUAAUUACUUAAAGAAUAAAUUAAAAAUGGACUAAUUUUAUUACUUACUCUAUUAUCAUAUCUUAUGACACCUGUCUAUAACUGACAAUUAAAAUUUUUUAGUUGAGUUUCUGUGUCAAAAGUUCCAUCAACAAAAAUAACUUUUUGUUUAAAUUAUUUACUAUUAAAUUCGAUAACGUCUUAUUAAUAAAAAUAAGCUUUUGUUGUAUUGUCUGUAAUAAUAGAUUCUACUACGAAUAAAUUUGUUUUGUCUAUUUUUAAUAAUUGUUUCUAAUUUUCUUUUUUUUAACAAGUAUAUACAUAAUUCGUAUAGAUUUUGUGGAAUCCGUGCGAUAUUUUUCUUUUUAUGGCGUUCUACAAAUUUCUCUAUAUUUACGAUAUUUGUUAAAUUUAAUAAAUAAUCGUAUCUAGAAAUAAAUUUACAAAUUACGAUUUAUCCAUAUAAUCAUUAAUCUUCACCAUAAUAAUUUAUUAUUUUCUAUUUUAUCUUUUUUAAUUUACUUAGAGAUAAUCGUAUUUUUUAUUUCCCUCAUUAUUUUAAAGGGUUGAGAUGCCUUAAUUAAUUUCUUAAUGUCAUCUAAUUGCACUGAUUUUUCGUGUCCUUCGUGUCUUCCACUUACAAUACAUUCACCAUUUUUUAUUUUUAGACGUGCUUUGAACUUCACAUCUUUAUUUUUUCUAUAAUCGUGAUACCUACCAGAAAAUUAUUUACUAUUAAAUACCUUAAAUAUAAUUAAUGUCAUGUUUUUCUACGCUGAUUGUGUAGGAAAAAUGUUAUCAAUAUUUUUUACAGGAUGUUUAAUUAAAAUUACGUCAAACACCGCGCGCUUUACUACAAUUAUUCGUUAUACUUUUGUUUUGUAUUAUGCAUUUGUUUCUCUGUUUCAAUCUUUCUGAUUGUUAUAGUAACCUAAUUGUUUAGCGUUAUUUAUUGUAUUGUGUCCAAAGUUGUGUAUACAUUUCUCCAUUAUGGCAGAAAAAGCAAAAUACAAUUUUGCGAGGAUUCAGAAAACAAAAGGAUAAUUAUAUGAAGGAUAUAAUUUCCAUCUGGAUAACUCAUACGCAGAUACUAAGUAAACAGAAAUGAUUAACAGUGAAAUUUAGAGUUACAAUUAAGAUUAUAAUAUAGAAAAAUAAAAGAGCAGUUUUCUAUUUGUAUAUAUAUAUAUAUAUAUAUAUGUACUAUCAAUUUUUUAACAAAUUAAUUAUUAAUUCUUUUAAUAAGUGUAUGAGAAAUAAUUAAAAUUUUUGAUGCUUCACAUUCUGUAAAAAAAAUUGAUAACGUUUGUCCUAUACAAUCAGCGUAGAAAAACAUUAUAUUAUAUUUAAUGUAUUUAAUACUAAAUAAUUUUCUGGCAGGUAUUACCGUUGUAGUUAUAAAAAAAAUAAAGAUGUGCAAUGCAAAGCACGCCUAAAGAUAAAAAAUGGCAAAUAUAUUUUAAGUGGAAGACACGAACACGAAAGGCCAGUGCAAUUAGAUAAUAUAAAAAAAGAGAUUAAGGAAUCUCAACCCUUUGAAACAUCGAGGGAAAUAAAAAAUAGAAUCAUCUCUAAAUACGAUCAUUUAUUAAAUUUUACAAAUAUUGCAAAUAUUGAAAAAUCUAUAGAAAGGCAUAAAAAGAAAAAUAUCAAACGGAUUCCACAAAAUCUGAAUGAGUUAAAUAUUUCUUUAAAAAGUAACAAUUGGCAAGAAUUAUUAAAAAUAGAGAAAGAAGACUCAUUCGUCGUAGAAUCCGUUGUUACAAACAAUUUAACAAAGACACUGAUUUUUAUUGAUAAAACGUUAUCAAAUUUGCUGUUAAAUACUUUAACUGACAAGUUAACAAUUUUUGUCGAUGGAACUUUUGCUACAGUUCCUCAAUUAAAAAAUACGAAUUGUCAGUUAUGGACAAUUGUUCUAAGACAUGAUAACAGAGUAAGUAAAAUAAUUAGUCCAUUUAUUAUUUAUUAUUUAAAUUGAUUUAUUUAAUCAUAACAGGAAUUCUAUAUUUUACAUAAAUGUAAAUUAAAUAUAAUUUUUAAAUUUUUUAGACAUUUCCAAUAGUGUACACUAUUAUGGAAGGACGCACAACACAAAAUUAUGUCAAUGUGUUAAAAAAAAUAAAAAAUAUAUUAAAAAUAAAUCCUGACAUUGCAAUGUCAGACUUUGAAAAAGCCGAACAAAAAGCUUUGCGUACGGUUUUUCCCAAUAAAAUUAUUGGCUACUUCCACUACAGCCAGGUAAUAAAAAAUAACUAAACUUAAUUAACAAAAAUGUAAAUCAAUUUUAAUUGUAUUAAUUUCCUAUUACAGGCGUUAGUACACAAUGCUGAAAAGCACGGCAUAUUAAAAAAUGAUAAAAAUGGUGUAGGUUGGGGCGCCACAAAAUUAUUGAUAUCAUUAGCCUUUUUACCAAAAAAAUUAAUAGUAGAAGGCUUCAAUCUGAUAUCGGGAAUUAUUUUCCAAGAUUGCACAUAUUUACAGUCUUUCUUCCAAUAUUAUAAAGACACGUGGAUAAACAGUUUUAAGCCUGAAUCUUUUUCGGUUUUCCAACAAAUACACCGAACCAAUAAUGUAUCAAAAAGACACAACCGAGAACUUCGGUUAAAUCUGAAAAAACACACAACAAUUGCUGAAUUUUUUGGUAACUUAAAUGCCAUAUUUUGUAAACAUAUUUCCAUACCAUAUUAAUUAUUCUUAAAAUGCAAUAUUUACUAUCUAUUUACAGUUUACCUUUCUGAACAUCAAAAGCGUAUUAGAAGUUUUGCGAGGCAUCCACAAUUUUGGGCACGAACGAAACGUUAUAGCCUAAAAGAAAAAGAAAA